GUGGCCGAGUAGGUGGCGAGUUGUAGCCUCGUGUACGGGCAAAGCGCCCCCCGACCA
rnacentral:tRNA from 1 species